rnacentral:rRNA from 1 species
CGAUUUAGUACUUUGGAUUAAACCCGAAACCGAGUGAUCUAGCCAUGAGCAGGUUGAAGAUAAGGUAACACUUAUUGGAGGACCGAACCAGUUGACGUUGAAAAGUCUUUGGAUGACUUGUGGUUAGGGGUGAAAGGCCAAUCAAACUCGGAUAUAGCUGGUUCUCCGCGAAAACUAUUUAGGUAGUGCGUCAUAUGAAUACCAUCGGGGGUAGAGCACUGGAUGGGCAAGGGGGGAGAGAUCCUUACUAAGUCCAACCAAACUCCAAAUACCGAUGAGUACUAUAUGGCAGACAGACUACGGGUGCUAAGGUCCGUAGUCGAAAGGAAAACAGUCCAGACCAACAGCUAAGGUCCCCAAGUUAUUGUUAAGUGGGAAAGGAUGUCGGACGACCAAAACAGCCAGGAGGUUGGCUUAGAAGCAGCCAUCCUUUAAAGAAAGCGUAACAGCUCACUGGUCUAAUUAAGUUGUCCGGCGCCGAAGAUGUAACGGGGCUAAACAAUACACCGAAGCUUUGGACACAAUUUAUUGUGUGGUAGCGGAGCGUUCCGUACGUUGUUGAAGGGAGACUCGUGAGAGCUCCUGGAGAUAUCGGAAGUGAGAAUGCUGACAUGAGUAGCGACAAACAGAGUGAGAAACUCUGUCGCCGAAAAUCCAAGGGUUCCUGCGCAAGGCUAAUCCGCGCAGGUUGAGUCGGCUCCUAAGGCAAGGACGAAAGUCGUAGUCGAUGGGAACAAGGUUAAUAUUCCUUGACCAGAUGAGAUGUGACGGAUGACGUAAAUUGUCUAUCCUUAUAUGGAUUGGAUAGGCAGUGAAGUUGUUCCAGGAAAUAGCCUCAUCAUAGACCGUACCCGAAACCGACACAGGUGGAUAGGUAGAAGAUACCAAGGCGCUUGAGAGAACUAUGCUGAAGGAACUCGGCAAAAUGCCUCUGUAACUUCGGAAGAAGGAGGACCUAUGUUUGGGCAACCAGAUGUAGGUGGCACAGAAAUGGGGGUAGCAACUGUUUAUUAAAAACACAGGACUCUGCAAAGCCGCAAGGCGAAGUAUAGGGUCUGACGCCUGCCCGGUGCCGGAAGAUUAAAGUGAGUGGUGCAAGCUACAAACUGAAGUCCCGGUGAACGGCGGCCGUAACUAUAACGGUCCUAAGGUAGCGAAAUUCCUUGUCGGGUAAGUUCCGACCUGCACGAAUGGCGUAAUGAUUUCCCCGCUGUCUCCAGCGUAGACUCAGCGAAAUUGAAUUCUCCGUGAAGAUGCGGAGUACCCGCGGUUAGACGGAAAGACCCCGUGCACCUUUACUAUAGCUUUACAUUGGUGUUAGAAAUUGCAUGUGUAGGAUAGGUGGUAGACUUUGAAGUAAGGGCGCCAGCCUUUAUGGAGUCAUCCUUGAAAUACCA